rnacentral:misc_RNA from 1 species
UUGGUUGAGACAAAAGACAAGAGCCAGUCGUUAGAAGUAUCUGGAAGAGUCGGUUGACAACAAGCGUGCGUGCGAGUAGUGAGUCGAGAGGUCAGAGUUAGUCGAGAAGCCGAAGAGUAGAGUUAAGAGUUGAGAGAGUCAGCGGAGUUGCCUGAGUUGCUAGCGUUGUUGAGAGAUUGAGUUGUUAGAGUUAUAGAGUUGCGAGAGUGAUUUGAGUAGAAUAAGAUUUUUGUUCAAGUUGAACAUUUAUCGUUCUCUG